rnacentral:rRNA from 1 species
GAUGAACGCUGACAGAAUGCUUAACACAUGCAAGUCAACUGUGGCGGACGGGCGAGUAACGCGUAAAGAACUUGCCUCACAGCUAGGGACAACAUUUGGAAACGAAUGCUAAUACCUGAUACUGUGAGAGAGCUUGGCGUCCUAUUAGCUAUUUGGAGAGGUAACGGCCCACCAAGGCGAUGAUGGGUAGCCGGCCUGGGAGUGUGAUCGGCCACAAGGGGACUGAGACACGACCCUUACUCAAACGGGAGGCAGGGGUGGGGAAUAUUGGACAAAGGACCAAAGUCUGAUCAAGGAAUUCUGUGGGCACAAUGAAGUUUUCGGAAUGUAAAGUGCUGUCAGUUGGGAAGCGGUACCAACAGAAGAAGUGACGGCUAAAUACGUGCCAGCAGCCGCGGUAAUAC